rnacentral:rRNA from 1 species
UACGGAGGGUGCGAGCGUUAUCCGGAUCUAUUGGGUUUAAGGGGUGCGUAGGCGGGCUGUUAAGCGUGAGGUGAAAGGUCGGGGCUCAACCCCUGAACUGCCUCGCGAACUGGCGGUCUUGAAUGUCCGUGCCGUGGGAGGAAUGUGUGGUGUAGCGGUGAAAUGCAUAGAGAUCAUACAGAACACCGAUUGCGAAGGCAUCUCACGAACGGAUGAUUGACGCUGAGGCACGAAAGCGUGGGGAUCAAAC